GCACCACAAGGGGUGAAGCCUGCGGUUCAAUUGGAGUCAACGCCAGAAAUCUUACCUGGGGAGACAGCAGAAUGAAGGUCAAGCUGAAGACUUUACCAGACAAGCUGAGAGGUGGUGCAUGGCCGUCGUCAGCUCGUGCCGUGAGAUGUCCUGUUAAGUCAGGUAACGAGCGAGAUCCCUGCCGCUAGUUGCUACCAUUACUCUCCGGAGUAGUGGGGCGAAUUAGCGGGACCGCUGCAGUUAAUGUGGAGGAAGGAAGGGGCCACGGCAGGUCAGUAUGCCCCGAAACUAUAGGGCCACACGCGGGCUGCAAUGGUAGCAACAAUGGGUCCCGAAUCCGAAAGGAUGAGGUAAUCCUCAAAUGCUACCUCAGUUAUGACUGAGGGCUGUAACUCGCCCUCACGAAUAUGGAAUCCCUAGUAAUUGCGUGUCAUUACCGCGCGGUGAAUAAGUCCUUGCUCCUUGCACACACCGCCCGUCGUUUCAUUGAAGUUUGUUUUUAGCGAGGUGACGUCAUUUUGGCGUUAUUGAACUUGAGGUAAGCAACAAGGGAAAAGUUGUAAC
rnacentral:rRNA from 1 species